rnacentral:rRNA from 1 species
GAAAUAGCGAUACGUAAUGUGAAUUGCAGAAUUCAGUGAAUCAUCGAGUCUUUGAACGCACAUUGCGCCCCCUCGGUAUUCCGGGGGGCGAUGCCUGUCCGAGCGUCAUUGCUGCCCUCAAGCACGGCUUGUGUGUUGGGCCCCGUCCUCCGAUCCCGGGGGACGGGCCCGAAAGGCAGCGGCGGCACCGCGUCCGGUCCUCGAGCGUAUGGGGCUUUGUCACCCGCUCUGUAGGCCCGGCCGGCGCUUGCCGAUCAACCAAAAUUUUUUCCAGGUUGACCUCGGAUCAGGUAGGGAUACCCGCUGAACUUAA